rnacentral:misc_RNA from 1 species
UCGUAACAAGGUUUCCGUAGGUGAACCUGCGGAAGGAUCAUUAACGAAUAACUAUGGUGUCUUGGUUGUAGCUGGCUCCUCGGAGCAAUGUGCACGCCCGCCAUUUUUAUCUUUCCACCUGUGCACCGACUGUAGGUCUGGAUACCUCUCGCCCUUCACGGGGCGGAUGCGAGGACUGCUCGUAAGGGCUCUCCUCGAAUUUCCAGGCUCUACGUCUUUUUACACACCCCAAUAGUAUGAUGUAGAAUGUAGUCAAUGGGCUUCUUAGCCUAUAAAACACUAUACAACUUUCAGCAACGGAUCUCUUGGCUCUCGCAUCGAUGAAGAACGCAGCGAAAUGCGAUAAGUAAUGUGAAUUGCAGAAUUCAGUGAAUCAUCGAAUCUUUGAACGCACCUUGCGCUCCUUGGUAUUCCGAGGAGCAUGCCUGUUUGAGUGUCAUUAAAUUCUCAACCUCACCAGUUUUCUGAACUGUUCUCCGAGGCUUGGAUGUGGGGGUUUGUGCAGGCUGCCUCACGGCGGUCUGCUCCCCUGAAAUGCAUUAGCGAGUUCAUACUGAACUUCCGUCUAUUGGUGUGAUAAUUAUCUACGCCGUGGACGAGGUUCAGACUCGCUUCUAACCGUCCGCAAGGACAAUACCUUGACAAUUUGACCUCAAAUCAGGUAGGACUACCCGCUGAACUUAAGCAUAUCAAUAA